rnacentral:rRNA from 1 species
GUGGGGAAUCUUGCGCAAUGGGCGAAAGCCUGACGCAGCCAUGCCGCGUGAAUGAUGAAGGUCUUAGGAUUGUAAAAUUCUUUCACCGGGGACGAUGAUGACGGUACCCGGAGAAGAAGCUCCGGCUAACUUCGUGCCAGCAGCCGCGGUAAUACGAAGGGGGCUAGCGUUGCUCGGAAUUACUGGGCGUAAAGGGCGCGUAGGCGGACAGCUUAGUCAGAGGUGAAAGCCCAGGGCUCAACCUUGGAAUUGCCUUUGAUACUGGCUGUCUUGAGUUUGGGAGAGGUGAGUGGAACUCCGAGUGUAGAGGUGAAAUUCGUAGAUAUUCGGAAGAACACCAGUGGCGAAGGCGACUCACUGGCCCAAUACUGACGCUGAGGCGCGAAAGCGUGGGGAGCAAACAGGAUUAGAAACCCCUGUAGUCC